UGAUAAUUGUUAUUUGAUAAAGACCAAGUAAUAAAUAGGUAGUAAUAAUACAAAUUUAUGAUUUUUUUUUUUUUAAUUUUAAGGGUUUUCAAUUUUUUCAAAUUUUUCCUAUUAAUUUGUAUAGUUAUUUGAAUGACUGUUAUUCCUCCGACAUUGGGGGAAUGAUAGCCAUUUGUACUUUUUUUUUAAAAAUCUGAAAUUUAAGUAUGUUGUACCUAACAAGUUAAUAAGUACUUCCUUUGUAUGCAUUGGCUAAUAUAUUUGACUAACUAGUUUCCAGAAAAUAAAGUUUUUACUAAGGUGACUGCCAUUCCCCCAGUCUCCCCUACCUAUUUGUAUGCAACGAUUAAUCAUUGCUAACAAAAAGCAAGUCGAUACCGGGAAUGGAAACGGCCACUGUUAUAGUUGAGAAGUUAGGAAUGUAGGAUAAAUUAGGUUAUUUCAUUUAUAUCUGUAAGCGACGAUUAUCAUUGCUUGACGAAAGACGAUUACGAGUGCAGUUCGGUUUGGAGUGCCGUAAUUUUUUUUGAGAUUUUCAUUUAAAUUUGGUUUCAAAACGCUUAUAAAAAAAAAAAAUAAUCCGAUGAUUUUGAAAAUUUCCAAAACGUCUAAAUAAGUCCAACAUAAGUAUUAUUACCAAGUUUCAAG